UGGGGAAUUUUGGACAAUGGGCGAAAGCCUGAUCCAGCAAUGCCGCGUGUGUGAAGAAGGCCUUCGGGUUGUAAAGCACUUUUGUCCGGAAAGAAAUGGCUCUGGUUAAUACCUGGGGUCGAUGACGGUACCGGAAGAAUAAGGACCGGCUAACUACGUGCCAGCAGCCGCGGUAAUACGUAGGGUCCAAGCGUUAAUCGGAAUUACUGGGCGUAAAGCGUGCGCAGGCGGUUGUGCAAGACCGAUGUGAAAUCCCCGAGCUUAACUUGGGAAUUGCAUUGGUGACUGCACGGCUAGAGUGUGUCAGAGGGGGGUAGAAUUCCACGUGUAGCAGUGAAAUGCGUAGAGAUGUGGAGGAAUACCGAUGGCGAAGGCAGCCCCCUGGGAUAACACUGACGCUCAUGCACGAAAGCGUGGGGAGCAAACAGGAUUAGAUACCCUGGUAGUCCACGCCCUAAACGAUGUCAACUAGUUGUU
rnacentral:rRNA from 1 species